rnacentral:rRNA from 1 species
AUGAUGGAGCGUGGGUGGAUGUAUAGUGGUUGGACUCACAGUAAAUCAACUGAUGAGUGGUAUAAUAAGACAAAGGAAUUCAUAGAUUUUGCCUUCUCUAUGCCAAGUGUAGUCCAGAAUGGAAAGAUUAAGUGUCCGUGUGCUAAAUGUCGAAACUAUGAGAGCAAGAACAGGGAUGAUGUAGAGUUAGAUUUGUGUCAUUUUGGUUUCAAGCGGAAUUAUACUGUUUGGACAGCACAUGGUGAAGGGUAUGUCGAAAUUACAGACUAUGUAGAUGUUGUGGAGGCUGAUCGAAUGGACACUAUGUUGAAUGAUCUAGCUGCACGUGCCCCCCCAAUUGAACAACAACCAAUAGCUUCAGCCCAAGCUUUCUAUAGAAUGAUUGAUAGUGUAAAAGAGUUGGUGCAUGAAAAUACAAGCCACUCAACUAUGUCUGCCAUAGCACGGUUGUUGACAAUAAAGUCACAACACAAUCAACCUGAAUCUUGCUAUAAUGAUACACUACAACUGAUCCAUGAGCUGCUGCCUAACAAUUCCUCACUGCCAAAGGACUUCUAUAGGUCAAAGAAAUUGCUAGAGGGUCUUGGUAUGCCAUAUCAUAAAAUUCAUGUUUGUCCCAAAAAUUGCAUGCUGUAUUACAAGGACAAUAAGAAUAAGCAAAAAUGUGAUUUUUGUAAGACCCCUAGGUACAAGGCUGGUUCAAAAAAGAUCCCACGUAAGGUGUUGCGGCACUUGCCUAUAAAAGAUAGGUUGCAGCGAUUGUUUGCACAUGAGGAGACCGCAAAAAUGUUGCGAUCGCACAAAGAAACUCCUGGUAAAAUGGUGCACCCACGCGAUGGUGAAGCAUGGCAACAACUUGAUAAGGAUUACCCAGACUUUGCAUUAGAUCCUAGGAAUCAGCGAGUAGUUGUAUCCACGGAUGGCUUCACUCCUUAUAGUUUGUCUGCUGCUUCUUAUUCAUGCUGGCCAGUGUUUGUGGUUCCUUUAAAUCUGCCUCCUGAAGUCAUAAAUCGUUCUGAGUACAUAUUUCUUGCUCUUGUUAUCCCUGGUCCUGAACAUCCUGGAGCAAAACUCAAUGUCCUUAUGCAACCUUUGGUUGAUGAAUUGACUGAGUUGUGGGGUGGUGUUCAAACGUGGGAUGCAUAUGGGAAGGAAAACUUCCCGAUGAAGGCAGCCUAUCUAUGGUCAGUCCAUGAUUUUCCAGCCUUUGGAAUGGUUGCUGGGUGGAGCACCCAUGGAAAAUUUUGUUGUUAUGAUUGUAUGAGUGAUACCAAAGCAUUCCGGUUAGAAAAUGGUGGAAAGGCUUGCUGGUUUGAUUGUCAUAGGAGGUUUCUUCCGAUAGGCCAUGAGUUUAGAACCCAAGCUGAUGCAUUUCGGAAAGACACAAUAAUAUUAGAUGAACCACCCAAGCUGAUGCAUUUCGGAGACGGCAGAAUCAUAUGA